rnacentral:rRNA from 1 species
UACGAAGGGGGCUAGCGUUGUUCGGAUUUACUGGGCGUAAAGCGCACGUAGGCGGGUUGUUAAGUCAGGGGUGAAAUCCUGGAGCUCAACUCCAGAACUGCCUUUGAUACUGGCAACCUAGAGACUGGAAGAGGUUAGUGGAAUUCCCAGUGUAGAGGUGAAAUUCGUAGAUAUUCGGAAGAACACCAGUGGCGAAGGCGGCUCACUGGCCCGGUACUGACGCUGAGAUACGAAAGCGUGGGGAGCAAACAGG